AGUGAACGCUGGCGGCGUGCUUAACACAUGCAAGUCGAACGAGAACGGAUUAUAGCUUGCUAUAAUUGUCAGCUAAGUGGCGCACGGGUGAGUAAUGUAUAGGUAAUAUGCCUCUUACUAAGGGAUAACAAAUGGAAACGUUUGCUAAUACCUUAUACUCCUUAUUAACAGAAGUUAAUAAGGGAAGAUUUAUUGGUAAGAGAUUAGCCUGUAUUGUAUCAGUUAGUUGGUGGGGUAAUGGCUUACCAAGACUAUGACACAUAAAUGGUUUGAGAGGAUGAUCAGUCACACUGGAACUGAGACACGGUCCAGACUCCUACGGGAGGCAGCAGUGGGGAAUAUUGCACAAUGGACGAAAGUCUGAUGCAGCAACGCCGCGUGGAGGAUGACACAUUUCGGUGCGUAAACUCCUUUUAUAUGAGAAGAUAAUGACGGUAUUAUAUGAAUAAGCACCGGCUAACUCCGUGCCAGCCGCCGCCGUAAGAC
rnacentral:rRNA from 1 species